UACGAAGGGGGCGAGCGUUGUUCGGAUUUACUGGGCGUAAAGGGCGCGCAGGCGGCUUAUUUUGUCAGGCGUGAAAGCCCCGGGCUUAACCUGGGAACUGCGUUUGAUACGGAUGGGCUAGAGUUCGGGAGAGGAGAGUGGAAUUCCCAGUGUAGAGGUGAAAUUCGUAGAUAUUGGGAAGAACACCGGUGGCGAAGGCGGCUCUCUGGACCGAGUACUGACGCUGAGGAGCGAAAGCGUGGGGAGCAGCAAGAGUA
rnacentral:rRNA from 1 species